UGUAGCAUCUCUCCUCCCUCCCUCUCCCACCAACCAUGUUCCUUAUAAAUACAAGCUUGAGGCCUUCCUCCCUAUUUCAGUUGAUCCAAUUGAUCCAUCCUUUUCUACUGCCGUGUAAGAAUAAAGUGGUGCAUAUACUUGCUUCGUUGGCCUUUGCACACAGAAAAGCUAUCCGUUGCUAAACAAGGAAAAAAGUAAACACAUGCUAUUGCUACUCUGGAACUCCAAGUAUGUAUCCUUUGUUAUGUUAAGCAGAUCUUCUUUACCCAUAUUUGACCAAGAAAAGAACCCUUCGUUGGAAUUGGUGGUCUCGGAAAAGAAGUUGUGAAUAUAUGGAUCAAUGGUUAGCAAAGUUCUUGAACGUCAUCUUGGGAACCAUGACGGGUCUCUUAACGUGAUGAAGGCAGAAUUUGGCAUACCAACACCAUAUGAUAUGGUCCAUAUCAUAUAACAAGGGAAUGCUACUUCAUUAUAAGAAGUAAUGAGGUGGAUGAUCGUUGUUGGUUGAUUGUUGACGUGCCAUCAAAUCUCCCUAGAAAGCCAUCUGCCUGUCUAUGUGGGUGCUCAAAUGUAUGUAAAUAUUUGUAUAUAUUCUAAAUCCAUACAUUGCAAAAAAAAAAAAGAAAAAGAAAAAGUAUGUGUUUUUCUCAUGUUGAAGUCGAUGGUCGACACAAAGAUGAAGAUUGACAAAGGUAUUUUAGAUA